ACGAUCGGCCUUGUGCCAAGCAGCCGCGGUAAUUCCAGCUCCAAUAGCGUAUAUUUAAGUUGUUGCAGUUAAAAAGCUCGUAGUUGGAUUUUGGGUGCGGCAGGCCGGUCCGCCGUUUCGGUGUGCACUGGCAGGCGGCAUCUUUCUGUCGAGGACGCGCUCCGGGCCUUCACUGGUCGGGACGCGGAGUCGGCGCAGUUACUUUGAAAAAAUUAGAGUGUUCAAAGCGGGCCUACGCUUGAAUAUAUUAGCAUGGAAUAACACCAUAGGACUCCUGUCCUAUUCUGUUGGUCUUCGGGAUGGGAGUAAUGAUUAAGAGGAACAGUUGGGGGCAUUCGUAUUUCAUUGUCAGAGGUGAAAUUCUUGGAUUUAUGAAAGACGAACUUCUGCGAAAGCAUUUGCCAAGGAUGUUUUCAUUAAUCAAGAACGAAAGUUGGGGGCUCGAAGAUGAUUAGAUACCAUCCUAGUCUCAACCAUAAACGAUGCCGACUAGGGAUUGGCGGAUGUUGAUUUGAUGACUUCGCCAGCACCUUAUGAGAAAUCAAAGUCUUUGGGUUCCGGGGGGAGUAUGGUCGCAAGGCUGAAACUUAAAGGAAUUGACGGAAGGGCACCACCAGGAGUGGAGCCUGCGGCUUAAUUUGACUCAACACGGGGAAACUUACCAGGUCCAGACAUAGUAAGGAUUGACAGAUUGAGAGCUCUUUCUUGAUUCUAUGGGUGGUGGUGCAUGGCCGUUCUUAGUUGGUGGAGUGAUUUGUCUGGCUAAUCCCGUUAACGAACGAGACCUCAGCCUGCUAACUAGUCACGGUCUUUCUGAAAGGCUGGCAGUACUUCUUAGAGGGACUAUUGGCGAUUAGCCAAUGGAAGUUUGAGGCAAUAACAGGUCUGUGAUG
rnacentral:rRNA from 1 species